UACGAAGGGGGCUAGCGUUGCUCGGAAUCACUGGGCGUAAAGGGCGCGUAGGCGGCUUCGCAAGUCCGGGGUGAAAGCCUCCAGCUCAACUGGAGAAGUGCCUUGGAUACUGCGGGGCUCGAGGGAGGUAGGGGUGCGUGGAACUUCCGGUGGAGCGGUGAAAUGCGCAGAUAUCAGGAGGAACACCGGUGGCGAAGGCGGGUCUCUGGGCCGAUACUGACGCUGAGGAGCGAAAGCGUGGGGAGCAAACAGG
rnacentral:rRNA from 1 species